AUUGAACGCUGGCGGCAUGCCUUACACAUGCAAGUCGAACGGUAACGGGCCUUCGGGUGCCGACGAGUGGCGAACGGGUGAGUAAUGCAUCGGAACGUACCUUUCAGUGGGGGAUAACGUAGCGAAAGUUACGCUAAUACCGCAUAUUCUGUGAGCAGGAAAGCAGGGGAUCGCAAGACCUUGCGCUGAUUGAGCGGCCGAUGUCAGAUUAGCUAGUUGGUGAGGUAAAGGCUCACCAAGGCGACGAUCUGUAGCGGGUCCGAGAGGAUGAUCCGCCACACUGGGACUGAGACACGGUCCAGAAUCCUACGGGAGGCAGGAGUGGGGAAUUUUGGAAAAUGGGGGCAACCCUGAUCCAGCCAUGCCGAGUGAGUGAAGAAGGCCUUCGGGUUGUAAAGCUCUUUCGGCCGGGAAGAAAUCGCACGGGCUAAUACCCUGUGUGGAUGACGGUACCGGAAUAAGAAGCACCGGCUAACUACGUGCCAGCCGCCGCAGUAACAC
rnacentral:rRNA from 1 species